UACGUAGGGUGCGAGCGUUAAUCGGAAUUACUGGGCGUAAAGCGUGCGCAGGCGGUUAUUUAAGUCAGGUGUGAAAGCCCUGGGCUUAACCUAGGAAUUGCGCUUGAGACUGGAUAGCUUGGAGUGCGGCAGAGGGAGGUGGAAUUCCACGUGUAGCAGUGAAAUGCGUAGAGAUGUGGAGGAACACCGAUGGCGAAGGCAGCCUCCUGGGCCAGCACUGACGCUGAGGAGCGAAAGCCAGGGGAGCAAACGGGG
rnacentral:rRNA from 1 species